GAUGAACGCUGGCGGCGUGCCUAAUACAUGCAAGUCGAGCGAAGCGGGGACGGGUGAGUAACAUGUGGAUAACCCCCUAUAAGAAGGGGAUAAAAUCGGGAAACCAGAGCGAAAACGGAUACUUAAAGAUGGAUCCGCGCUGCAUUAGCUAGUUGGUAAGGUAACGGCAUACCAAGGGAACGAUGCAUAGCCGACCGGGGCGGGUGAUCGUCCACACUGUAACUGCGCCACGGUCCAGGCUCCGCCGGUAGGCAGCAGUGGGGAAUCUGCCGCAAUGGGCGAAAGCCUGACGGAGCCACGCCGCGUGUGUGAUGCAGGUCUUCGGAUCGUAAAACUCUGUUAUUGGGGAAGCGGUACCUAAUCAGAAAGCCACGGCUAACUACGUGCCAGCAGCCGCGGUAAUAC
rnacentral:rRNA from 1 species